CAGUAGCCGCGGUAAUACGGAGGGUGCAAGCGUUAAUCGGAAUUACUGGGCGUAAAGCGUGCGUAGGCGGUUCGUUAAGUCUGUUGUGAAAGCCCCGGGCUCAACCUGGGAAUGGCAAUGGAUACUGGCGAGCUAGAGUGUGUCAGAGGAUGGUGGAAUUCCCGGUGUAGCGGUGAAAUGCGUAGAGAUCGGGAGGAACAUCAGUGGCGAAGGCGGCCAUCUGGGACAACACUGACGCUGAGGCCCGAAAGCGUGGGGAGCAAACAGGAUUAGAUACCCCGGUAGUCCCUGUCUCUUAUAC
rnacentral:rRNA from 1 species